UACAGAGGCAAAGAGGAGGCUCCACCACGUCUGUCUGAAUGAGGCCUUAGCAGCAGAAAUGGCCUUCAGAUACAACAGGUAUCAUGGUCAGAGUCAGCUUAUAUGUGAAGUCGUGUCUACUAUACCACACUGUAUUACGUACAGUCUUCUCCAACCGGACCGGCAGAGCACUGAGCUGGCGGAUCCCUCUGCAAGUCCAUCAGUUCCUGUAUGAAACAGAAGAAAGAUAAAUGGAAUUGCCGAGGAUCAGCUGACAGCAUGUAUUUAAUCGCAUGGCCACACAGUAUGCAGUAAAUCUAUUGGCAUAUGUUUAC